AACUGCAACUGGAAGAUAUACUGC
rnacentral:siRNA from 1 species